UACAUGGGGUGCAAACGUUUGCUCGGAAUUAUUGGGCGUAAAGCGCACGUAGGCGGUUCGUUAAGUCGGAUGUGAAAGCCCUCGGCUCAACCAAGGAAGUGCUUUCGAAACUGCUGAGCUUGAGUACUUAAGAGGAUCGCGGAAAUUCCCGGUGUAGAGGUGAAAUUCGUAGAAUAUCUGGAGGAACACCGGGUGGCGAAGGCGGCAUCCUGGACCGAUACUGACGCUGAUGGAGCGAAAAGCCAGGGGAGCAAACGGG
rnacentral:rRNA from 1 species